GUCCAGGGUAGCCUAGUGGUCAUGGCAUCUGGCCGGUAAGCGGAAGGUCGUGGGUUCGAUUCCCAUCACUUGACA
rnacentral:tRNA from 1 species